rnacentral:rRNA from 1 species
UAGGGAAUCUUCCGCAAUGGACGCAAGUCUGACGGAGCAACGCCGCGUGAGUGAAGAAGGAUUUCGGUUCGUAAAACUCUGUUGUUAGAGAAGAACAGCGCAUAGAGUAACUGUUAUGCGUGUGACGGUAUCUAACCAGAAAGCCACGGCUAACUACGUGCCAGCAGCCGCGGUAAUACGUAGGUGGCAAGCGUUGUCCGGAUUUAUUGGGCGUAAAGCGAGCGCAGGCGGUUAGAAAAGUCUGAAGUGAAAGGCAGUGGCUCAACCAUUGUAGGCUUUGGAAACUGUUUAACUUGAGUGCAGAAGAGGAGAGUGGAAUUCCAUGUGUAGCGGUGAAAUGCGUAGAUAUAUGGAGGAACACCAGUGGCGAAGGCGACUCUCUGGUCUGUAACUGACGCUGAGGCUCGAAAGCGUGGGUAGCAAACAGG